rnacentral:rRNA from 1 species
CCUACGGGCGGCUGCAGUGGGGAAUAUUGCACAAUGGGCGCAAGCCUGAUGCAGCCAUGCCGCGUGUGUGAAGAAGGCCUUCGGGUUGUAGAGCACUUUCAGCGGGGAGGAAGGCGGUGAGGUUAAUAACCUCAUCGAUUGACGUUACCCGCAGAAGAAGCACCGGCUAACUCCGUGCCAGCAGCCGCGGUAAUACGGAGGGUGCAAGCGUUAAUCGGAAUUACUGGGCGUAAAGCGCACGCAGGCGGUCUGUCAAGUCGGAUGUGAAAUCCCCGGGCUCAACCUGGGAACUGCAUUCGAAACUGGCAGGCUAGAGUCUUGUAGAGGGGGGUAGAAUUCCAGGUGUAGCGGUGAAAUGCGUAGAGAUCUGGAGGAAUACCGGUGGCGAAGGCGGCCCCCUGGACAGAGACUGACGCUCAGGUGCGAAAGCGUGGGGAGCAAACAGGAUUAGAUACCCUAGUAGUC